rnacentral:rRNA from 1 species
UACGGGGGGAGCAAGCGUUGUUCGGAUUUACUGGGCGUAAAGGGCGCGUAGGCGGUCAGCACAAGUCAGUUGUGAAAUCUCCGGGCUUAACUCGGAAAGGUCAACUGAAACUGUGCGACUAGAGUGCGGAAGGGGCAACUGGAAUUCUCGGUGUAGCGGUGAAAUGCGUAGAUAUCGAGAGGAACACCUGCGGCGAAGGCGGGUUGCUGGGCCGACACUGACGCUGAUGCGCGAAAGCCAGGGGAGCGAACGGG